rnacentral:rRNA from 1 species
UAAAACGACUCUCGGCAACGGAUAUCUCGGCUCUCGCAUCGAUGAAGAACGUAGCGAAAUGCGAUACUUGGUGUGAAUUGCAGAAUCCCGUGAACCAUCGAGUCUUUGAACGCAAGUUGCGCCCGAAGCCUUCGGGCCGAGGGCACGUCUGCCUGGGCGUCACGCAUCGCGUC